rnacentral:piRNA from 1 species
CCAUGCCUGACCACGACUAAGAAC